AACAAUCAAGGAGGGACUAAAGUUUAAAUAAAUAAAUAAAAAGUUAAGAAGGUUCCUUAAAUUUACGAGAAAUUUGUGGUAACUCUAUCUCUCUCUCUCUCUCUUUUUCUUUUUUUUUUUUGUAAUUUGGUGACAGAGAGCUGAGAGAGGGUUCAAUUAUUAUAAAAUAUGUUAUAUAUUUUAGCAUAUUGUGAGUGAGAAAUAAUUAGAAGCCUAAUCAGAAACAAUACCAUAUUAUUUUAUUUGAAAUAAUGUUUUGAGGAAAAAAGAACGUGACCAUCCAACAUUCGCUACGUAAGAGGAUCCUCGCACGUGUCCCCGACACGCGUCACCUCGAUCUCGAAUCCAUGCAUGCUACGUGCCAUGCCACGCCACGUCCUCACGUCCUCGUCCCUCCCCUUCUUACAGGUUUAUAUAUACCAGCUACUGCUUCAGUUCAAUUCUAUAGAUGCAUGUAGUUUAAUUAGCUUGCACAACAACAACAAGAAGAAGAAGAAUAGUGAAGAGGGGAGAGGAUCAAAACAAGGAACUUAUAUAUUAGAAGAAGAUGGAGGCGGGGAAGAGGGCGGUGGAGUCGGCAAAGGCCGACGCGGAGAAGGCGCAGGCGGCUCUGCAGGCAAGGGCGGAGAAGCUGACGGCGUCGCACCCGGCGGAGCAGCACAAGCACGACAGGAUCCCCGAAGCCGAGGCCGCCAAACGGGAGGCGGCGACGGAGCGCCACCACAACGCUGCCGCCGCUGCCGCCGCCGCUGCCGCUGCCGCUGCUGCUGCUGCCGCCCGCGGUGGCUGUCAUGUCGUCGGGGGCCAGGCGGCGGGAGGGUAUGUGGAGCCCGGCAUGGCAAAGUCGCAGCCGAUCGCCAUCGCGACGGGGACGGUGCGGCCGUCGGCGGCGCAUAACCCCCACAUCGGCAGCAAACACCAGGAGCCCUGUGGUACCCGUCAAGAACACACUUAAAUUGAACUGAUUGAUGUAUUUGAUGAGAUGAAAGAAAUAUACGAUGAACCAUGCAUGGAAUUAAUGACAAUAAAAGAAGCACCAGGCAAUAUAUAGAGUAUAGAGAGUAAUUUAAUUAUGGCUUGUUUGUAUAUCAAUAAUGGUAUUGUGUUAAUAAUUUAAGGACGUAUUUGGUUCGCAUUAUGAAAGAUUAUAAGAAAUAAAAUAAUAUUCGAGAAUCUUAUUUUUAUUUAUUUUAUUAUUUAAAAAUAUGGCAUUCAUGUGUUUGGUUCGUACGGUCAUAUUAUUUAGUCAUAUUACUUAAAAAUUAUAAAAAAUAUAUAAUUAAUUUAUUUAUUUUUUAAUUAAUUUUAGAUAAUGCUAAAAAAAAUUUUAACAUUUUUUUAGAAAAAAGAAAGAGAGAAUAUAGAUCCGAAAAAGAGAGCAUAAUUAAAGAAAUAGGAAGAGAAAUAGAAUCGAGAAUAGAGGAAGUAAGAGAGUUGAGAUUUAAAAAAAAGAGGGAGAGAGAAAGUUUAGUUUAGAGAGAGAAAAUAAAAGUUAAAAUUUAGAGAGAAAAAGAUAAGUUUAGAAAGAGAUAUGAAGUUAGAGUGUAAAGAAAAAUAAUAUCAAUUAAUCGGCAAAAAAGAAGAAAAAAGAGAUUAGACAUAUUACGAUUACCCUAAUUCAUUAAUAUGAAGAUACCCACCCUCCCUCAAAAAAAUGAGAUCAGUACUUUGAAAUAAAUUUCAUUUUCAAAUAAAUUUAAUAUUACUAACUAGUUUACUUAGUGCGUUUAGCCAAACACCGUCAUAUUUUUUUUAUUUCUAUUGAAUUACUAGAAAUCUUAAAAAAGAUAGCGCGAACGAAACGCACUCUAAGUUUAUAAUAAACUUCUUGUUGUGGUGCUUCAUGGCGUGACUUUGCACAAUGAAUUUUCUAACUUCAAAGCAUAAGAAAAGGUAUAAAUUUGAUGGAUUCAAAGUAUCAGAUAUCAUAAUAAGGAUGAAUCUUAGCAUCAGCAAAAUCCAGAGUUUUGAGUAACUAAGAAAAAUGAGAUCAAUGUCGACACAAAAAUGAUCAGGAAAUUAGAACUGCGGCGGCAUUCUCGUUUGUACAUGUAACAACAGCACGUACGUUUCAGUAAAGAGAAGAACAGAAAUGUUAUCCAGCGUCAGUACGCGCAUGUAUGGCAUCGAAAAGAGAUUGUGUGUUAACGAAGGGGUGGCCAAAUACAUCUGACAGAGACAAGGACUAACACAAGAAUGGUAAAUGCCUCAACAUUCAGAAUCAUAAGCGUGCGCGCCCCCACGAAACAAUCGCAGAAAUGUUGUGAACGAUUGAUAAACGAUCGCGGAAAUGUUGUGAACGAUCGGAUUGUCAAUGUCCAUUCGCGGCCCAUGCUUGAUUUUGGUGGGCACUCGGUAUUCUGAUUGACGUGCGCACACCGAAUCUGCAAGAACAAGAGAAUGUUAGCAUCUGCAGAAAAAAAGAGCUAGCUACAUUUACAAGUUCCAACAACGUAAAUGAAAGAUAAGCCUAGACAAAAUUGUUAGAUUUAGUCAAUGUGGUUAUGUGCAUAUAUUUAUCUCAUUCUGUUGAUGAUUAAUUGACUUCUGCCAAAUCACGCUCUGCCUGGACAAAGAAGAAAGCUCAAACACUCUUGUGGGAGAAAAUUUGUAAACAACCGAUCAUUUACCAUUCGAGAUAUGUUAUGUCAUGCAGCAAAGUGCUUCACAAUCUAAGAUCUAAACAUGUAUCAGAAAGGUUACCGAAUUUACAGCACAGUGGCGUUUCGUUUUGUGAGAAACGUUUAACGACUCCCUGAACUUGAGCUCAUUUGCAAAUAGGCGUUUAAACUUUCAAUUUCGGCAAUGACAUUUCCUAAACUUUAUCAAACAAUUCUACAGACCCAUUUCCUCAUAUGAAUUUUUACUAAUUACACAACCAUUUUGAUUGGGUGUUAGACACAUAAAUUUUGUAAAACUUCAAAGAAUAAAGAAAUAUAUUUUUUCUCUUCUAAUUUUGAUAAUUAAGCAUGACGAUCAAAAAAUAGGUUGAACCGAAUUUCAACUUUUAUCACUUUUUUUACAUGUUAAUGCAAAAGGUGAGUUUUUUAUGUUUUGAAGCUUCAUAAAACUAUAUGCAAUAAAUACGGUCAAUACGAUUGUAUAAUUGAUAACUUUAAUUGAAGAGAGGGGUCUAUAGAACUAUUUGAUUAAGUUUUAAGGGUCUAGUUGCCCAAAUUGAAAGUUCAGGCGCCGAUCUGUAAAAGAUCUAAAGUUAAGGGGUCUUUGUAUAUUUUUUUUUUCCUUUCAUUUUUACUGUCUCAUUUAUAACUCAAAAAUGAAAGCUAUCGGCCAAAAUAUAGCCGUAUCACCAACGGGCUUUUUGGAGUUUUUCCCUUCGAUAAAAUGGUUUGUAGGUUUGAAGAGUUCGGCAUACCUUUUAAGGAGGAAGCAAAUUUCCAAGAGACAAGGACCUUUCAUUUCUCGUCUCUGCAGCUUGUCUACGUAAAGGAGGUGCAUAUACAGAUAUUGGGAGAACCCAAUCCCCCUUUUCCCUUUGCUCGAUCAAGAGAGGGUGUUCGUAUCUACGGAGAGAAAAAAAAAAUGAAGUACGAGGAAUCCAUCAAAUACUAGGUUAUUUUCAAGACGAUGUAUAGUUCUGCAUAAAUAUUCCUUAAACAAACAAAUGACAAGCAUAUUUCUAAGUACCUUCUCAGGUCCAGAUCCUCAGGAGUAGUGAAAAAUUCAAAACGUAGAUACCAUUGUACCGAAAUCUUUGAGGUGGAGAACGUCGUGGGCCCAUCAAUAGGAAUCGAGAAAAGGAAACUUGUCUGAAGUAAAUCAGCAACAACCUCAUGGUGCUCGCUAUGAACCUAAACACGGAAUAAGUAAUUACGAUUGCAUCACUUCUAUGUCCCAAUUCAUAGAAGAGUUCGAGCUCAAAAAGAUAUAAAAACAAAUUCUCAGGCAGAAAUUAAGAAACAAAUCAGAACUCGCCAGAAAUCAAAACUAAAAUUGCCAUAUGGCCCGUGUCUAUUGAGCUAUGAAGAAACCUGAGCUUUAACAAAUUCUUCCCUACAGGUUUACUUAGUUCAUUAAUUCGUAUCCAUAAGAUUUUGGUUUCAGCAGAACAGAGACAAUAUGUACAUUGGAAACAGAGAACUUUAUCACAAAAAAACUAAUAUGCCACAAUUGGAACAUAUUGAAAAAUGCACAAUCAUUCAGAUAAGACAGGGAGUUAGCACUGGAGAGCACUAAUGUUUAGAAUCAAGAAACAAAUACAUACGGCAUAAGUGAAAACCCCAAUUAUAUAAGGCAACUUUAAGACAACCCUUUGCCCAGAUUAAAAAUUUGUUUAAACAUACUUAGAUCAUUUCGGUAAGACAGUUCUGUUUCAACAACCUUAAAUUACCUGCACUCUGUCCGAGAAAUAUUAACUAAUAAUUAGUUCUUUUGACAUGUCUUCUGUUCAAUCAUGUGUUUUUUUUAUUCACAAACUGCCUUUCAUUAUAGUUUAAUCCUUGUUUCAUUUGUAAACAAGUUUGGCAUCUUUUCAUCUUUCAGUUUCAAGAUGCUAAAAAGCAAAUACAUUUAACAGCAUUGUGCUUUGAUCAUAAGGCAGAGGGAGAAGGCAUCUGAUGCCGUAACAAAAGCGAAAAAGAGGAAGGGGGGGAAGGGGAAUCCAGAACAGGAGUAAUUUCUUAUUGUUUUUAAGAAAGCAUCCACCAGUUUGUUACAAAGCGGAAAUAGAACACGAAAGAAACAAGGACAAACUAUUCAGAAAUGAAUUGGCCAGUGAAAGCAUCUUCAUAUCUGUCUUACGAGAUCAAUGAGCUCGUACAAUAUACAAAAAGUACCUUUGUGAUUGUGGGCGAGCCCUUUCUAGAAGGAUGUAUUACACGCUGGUUGAUUGUUUCUGAAGUUUCCAAUGUUACUGAUACCUGCCAAAGUGUAGAAAUGCUUCAGACAUGAAUCAUCAGCUAGUAGAACAAAAACAACUCAAUAUGCUUCUACCUCAAGGCAUCUUCGAACUCCCUCCCCAUGAAAAAAGGUGAGGGUGCCACCAAUCUGUUUCCAGAAAAUUUACAAAAUCAUGCUUCAAUACUGAAAAGGAAUAGAGCUAUUAAAGUUUAAUAAAAUAGUACAAAUUUUCUACCUGAAGGUUGACCUGUAUUUAAAUUUUGUCCUCAGUUUCAGUUUUAACAAUUCAGUCCUAAAUUUUGUCCUGCAUAACAGUUAGGCUCUUCUGGUAGUCUACCAGCUGAAAAAAGGUGCCACAUCAGCGAGCGCUACCUUUAGACUUUUCUUUGAUAGGAUUGAAACUCCCGUGAAUUUGAAAUUGAGUUCAUAAAUCAGAGCUUAAAUUAUUAAGAUUGAAACCCUAAGUACCAAGUUUGGCAACAGAAGCCAAAUUUCACGGACUGAAUUGUCAAAAUUGAAGCUUUAUGAAAAACAAUUGAAAUCCAGGUCAAACUUCACACCAAAAUUUGUAACUAACUCUUUAAUAAACUUACCAUAUCACCAAAGUAAUAAGUUGAAUCAGAGUUUCUUGGUGAAAAGCGAAGCAAAACUUGGUCGCCUAUUCUGAUAUUGUAGGAUCUUCCUCGAAUGAAGCCUUCUGCUGCAGAGAAUGUUCACUGCAACUUAGUUUUACUGAAGCUCUUCAGCUAAAUUGAGAAAAGAUCCCUCUAAAGUUUGAAGAACAAAAUCCCAUAAUAGAACAUAAUGACUUACAUGCAGUAGGUUCAACAUGUUUGGGUGUGAAUGGGGAUCCGACUUCAUCUUUAAGGAAAUAAGAAUUUGUAGAAUUUCUUUCCACCGGCGACACAGUAGACGAAGAAUGAUUUAGCUUCAUUUGAGGAGAUUGUAUAGCUGUUCAUUAGAUGAAGCAUCAAUAAGAUAGAUAAUGUAUAGUGGCUCGAUUGAGAGAUAUAUAGCAAAUUUCUAAACAGAUAACUUAUAAACAGGAGAGAGAGAGAGAGAGAGAGAGAGAGAGAACAAGCUAGGAACGAUACAGCUUAAAAUGUGUAUCAGAAUCUGUUUUUUCUCUAUAUUCCACAUGAACAGAGCCCUACCUCUGCUGCUGUGCACCAAAAAAAGGAAGGGCCAAUUACAGACCAAAUCCCCAAAGUUUUGACCUGAAUUUCCAUCUUAUCUCUGAAUCUUCAUUCAUAGAAUGUAAUCCCUGAAGUUCGUUAUAUGUGACAAUUAACUCCUUCCUUUAGGUAAUUUUCGGCUUGGCAAUUUCUGUCAUGGGUAUAGUGAAAAAUAUCCCUUACAAGGAAUUUAGUUUAAGUUAUCCCCAUUGUUUUGGUUGCAAUAGUGGGGAUUAGGUGGGAAAAGGCCCUAGACACGAGGGAUAGCAUGUUUAUACUAUAACCCAUGGAACUAAUAUUCGCUCAGAUAAACUAGGUAUGGGGAUAUUUUUCCCACCUAAUUCCAAGUAACGAUAAUUGAUAUCUGUGUUUGGGAGGAUACAGGGGAGAUCUACCACUAUGCCCACCAUUUUUUAAUUGAUAUCUCAGUGUUUGGGAGUAUACUGGGGAGAUCUACCACUAUCCCCACCAUUUUUCCCAACCAAACGCUGCCUAGUCAAUCAUCUGAAAAGCCGCCAUGUCAAACUUAGGAUUUCACAUUUAAUUCCUGCAGUUAGAUCAUCUAUACUGUUACAACUUAGACCCUUAGGAUGAAUUGAAACCAUAAUCACAUUUCAGAGAUGAAACUAGGAGAUAAACUUGCAAGUAAAGCGCAGUAUAUUGGCAGGUUUGAAUGGACACCAUACCUCCACCAGGAUCAUCUAUGACCUCCGAUAUAGAAAGUCGAGGAAGGGCAGCAUAAGAUGGAAAACCAGAGUGCUCUCCAUGAGAAUUGUAUAGCUCACUGGUGGAAAGUCGUGUCGACAUUGAUUGCAUAGAUAAGGAAUUCCUGUGAACAAAGUCAACAUUUGCUUUGGCAGGGUUGUACGAGGAAACAGACGAGACUUCAUCUCUUGAGCUAUCAUAUCCUUCUUCGAAGCCAUCCACAUUCUCAUUUGCUCUAGCCUGACAAGAAAAGGACAAUUCACUACUAUGAGGAGUCACAAAACUGAAAUUAACUGCUGCUGAAUAAUUAAAAGUUCCUGCCUGUAUGAAUUUCAUAGCAUGGGAUUGUUAAGCUAUGCAUUUCGAGAUGAUUCAAUUUGCCAACGGUGGUACUGACUCUGCAAGUAGUGGUUUCGACUAAAGAAGUUCUCAGCAUAUUACUCCUAUACAUGACCGUUGUUCUAAAAAUAAGAUUAACCAAAUUUGAAACCUACAUUGUCUCUUUAUCUCUACAAGAUAUACAGUUAGAAUUGAUUAAAUAAGAUACUUACCAUAUCACAUACACCCAUUAUAUCAGAAUCACCCAGUAAAUAAGCACAAUGAGAAAUCAAACCAGAAUUAAAAGGUCAAAAAUGUAAAAUUCAUUUUUGUAUACUAAAAUCUGACAAUAAAAGUUCUGAGAUAUUCACAAAUAUAUUAGAUUUCUUAAAAAUUCACAGCCCAUUUGAAAAAGAAUACUGAAAUAUUGAUCAUAUCCUAGCAAACCCAAAAAUAAUGUGAUGAACGCCUGAAGCAGUUUAUUUGGUUUUGAAAUAAAAGGAAUUCGAACUUCGAGUUUAUUCUUAAGGAGCAGGAUCUGCUUACAAGAGAGUAGGAAGUGAGAGGGAAAUGAGAUAAUGAAAAAGGCUAUUUCACGGCCAUGAGUACGGAGCUUAUCACUUUUUUGAGAAAAUUUAGCAUUAUAAUUUUUCAGAACACACGAGUCACUCUAUAGCCUAAGUUUGCACUGUGCAUUAACCCUACAUGCAAGAAAACUUUUUGAAUCAAAAGACAAAUACAGAAACAGAAAAGUUGUCGAAGCAAAAUUGAACAUGUUCCAGCAAUUUCUCACCCAUUCAGAGUCGUCAUCUUUCUCUUUCCAAAAAAUAUUCAGUUGAUCAUCAGAAAUCAGUAACUUCCCUGGUAUACACACCAAAAGAAUUUAUUCAAAUAUUUUCAAAUAUCAUCAAGUGUAUAAAUCAAGCAAAUAAUUAAAAGAAAAUUUUGAUAGUAGAAUCAAGCUGUUAAAGUUUAUAGCAUUGCAACACUUAUACAUGACCACAUGAACUGUUUUAGCAAUUGGGACCUGCAAAGGCAGGUUAACAAAGAAUAUAGCGACAUAUAAUAUUCCUAUGCAAGCAUCCAAAACAAGACAAUAUUAUAGAUCUAACCUUCUUCAUUAAGCAGAUUGCUGCUCUUCUGAGAAACCCAGAUUUGCAAUGGAGCCCGAGCUUCCUACAAAUGAAAGUUCAGCAAUGAGAAUGACGAUAGAGAACGAUACAAACAUAUCAAAUUUAGCGACAGUAUAACAAUCUAUCGUGGAUUAAAAUGAGGUCAGAUACUGAAGAAGCCACUAAAAAUUGAAGGCCUACCUUGCAAUCAAUAAUUCAAAGUGCUUAGUUGAAGAUUGUCACUAUCAAAUCCAUAGACCUUAAGGGAAUGUUUCCAUCAAACCAAUCAGUCAUAGUUCAUAAAAUUUAUGGUUAUGACAAACAAAGAUGUUUCUGUAUCAAAUGCCUAGACCUUAAGGGAAUGUUUCCAUCAAACCAUCAGUCAUAGUUCAUAAAAUUUAUAGUUAUGACAAACAAAGAUGUUUCUGUACAAAGAUUUAAUAUCAAAUGUGGACGCACAGGCAUACAUAAACCUUGACACUGAAAGAUCAUAUAUAGUAAAUAAUUCCCUAAUCAAAGCAACUAAUCAUGCAAAUGAUCCAUGAAUAGUUGACUUUUGAAGUACUAGAAUAAAAUGGUUGCGUCAUUCUCACAUCACCUUAAGUUCUAAGAAUUCAGUGCCAAAAACAGAAUUCAGUGCCAAAAACAGACAUCAUGCAGGAUGUCCUUGAUUCAUAUGUAUCAUACCCAAUGGUAAGAUUCUAUUCUGGGGAAGAAAGUUAAAAACAUGAAAAUAAAAAAAUUUUCAUGCCACUCAACUUUUUGUGAAAGGAUAGUUACCAUUUGCCCCAAUAAGCUCACGUCAGGAAUGUGAAGGAGAACCAACUAACAUAUAUGAUGGUCGAACAAGAUUUAGGAUACAGUUUGAAUAAAAUUCUUCAUACUUUACUAGUUCUUACUAAUGGUAAUUUGAAAGUAUUUUGUAUAGGACUUUUAGUAACUCCAUAAAAAAUAAAAUGGUGAAAAAGAGUAGAAAAAUAGUAAAUUAAGUAGCGAUGCUAGGAAUUCUUUUGGGGUACUGCAAGAAAUGCACUAUUCAGCAAUUGAAGACUUCUUAGUAAACUUUGCAGUAAUACGGUCAAUAAUGUUUGAAAAAUAGAUACUACCAGUAUGAACUUAAAAGAGGACGGAACCUGUGCAAAAGAACUUAAAAGACCGAUACUAAAAGGCCAAACUGAUCUACAUAAAGGAAAAUCAUAAUGUUUCAUACGUUCAACCUUAAAUGGCGGGUCAUGCCAUAAUUAAUUAAUCCUAGGAAUAAUGAUCUACAAGAAACUCGCACCAACCAAAGGAAAAUGAAGCUAAGAAAAUACAUAAAGUGCAAUACAAACUCGAACUGCAUGAUUUCUAAAAUAUGCAAUAAAAAUAGGAGAGGUUACAGACAGAAAGGUUGUUUGACAAGUAAAAACAUGAAUCCUAAUUUAGAAAAUGAAAUUUUAUUAGAAAGAACGCAGCAAGAUCUUAAAUUGGGGACUAACCAGUUGAAUCAAAUUAUUUGUGGAUCCUCUAUCGUGAUUUGGAUUAUCCAGAACAAGCCACCUUGCAUAUAAUGUACUUCUAACAUAGUAAAUAUAGCGAAUGCUGAUGCCCCUGUAUGAUGGUGGCAAAAUAUUUGGAAGCUCGACUCGUACUAUAUCUGCAUAGAUUUAUAGAGUGAUCAGUCCGUUAAUUGCAAUUUAGCACAAUGAAGAAUGAUUUGGACCUGCCAAUCCAAAAGAAGAACAUAUUUGUGCCUAAGUAGCAUAAAUGAACAACAGAAGAUAGUGCUAAGGAAUACUCUCCACUGAAACUAAUGCAUAUUUAAGCCAUCAAAUAAGAUAUAUUCAUAGUAAAGUAGAAUUAAUUCGUAAUUUAAUUAUCAGAUAAACCAUUAAUCUUUGCCAAGAACUGGCACAAUCAUCAGAGUCAGACAUUAGACAGGAGAGCAGAAAGUAGACAAAACGAAGAAAAGAGCCAAAUAUAGAUAUAAAAGUAGGCAAAAUGCAAUGCCCUUUCCUCUCUUGUUAAUCCUUGGUUCCUUUUUGCGGUUGACUAAUGUAAAACUUACUUUCAACUUUCUUUCGCUGCUUUUGUAUGUGUCAAAACCAAAGAUAAAUGCAAAAGACUCUUCAGAUCAGACUUGUCAAUAUAUUUUUAUGCUCCACACAACCAACAUAACAAGAUAACAAUAAUUCAGGCAAUGUUUUCAGUCAAAAAGGUAUAACCAGCAUAAUAAUCAUCUAAGAAAGGUUAGCAACUGCAGACAGCAGCAACAUAAAGUUUUAUCUUUCACAAUAAAAUGAGAAGUUAGGUAUAAAUAAAGAUCCUAAUGUGGCAACAUCUUAAGCAAGGGUGAGUGUUAAAUAAAGCAAAUAAGAAAGCUUACUUGAGUAAAACUAAAUGAUAUGGAAGGAGUUAACUAGCAACUCCAGUAAUAAUGCCUAACAGAACAAGUGGCUUAAAAAUUCUAGAUAGAUUGCUACAUUGUCAGGUCAGACCAAACUAAAAUAUCAGUUACUUCUGGAUACUUGGAGAAAAAUUGAAAGUACUUCAAAAAUGCACAGAUACAAAAUAGGCAUAAAAACGUUAUGUCUGAAUUGAAGAAAUUCCUACGGUAUAUCUGAAGUCACGACCUAAUAAUGUAUUUAACUUAAGAGAGAUGACUUACAUGUUUUGGUAUGUCCAGAAGUAACUAUCACUUUUGAAACUAUCGAAGGUGCUGUACAAUCUAGAAACAAUCGUUCACCUGCACUUCAAAUAUCAUUACAGAAGAUAAUAAGCAUGAAACUUCAUAAAAUUGAUCAAGCAAGUGGCCUUUCGUCAAGAGGAACUACAAAUGUUCUUUUUUUACUUUUUCAAGUCUCUACGAAAAUCACUAUGGUAAAAAUUUGCAGUAAUUAGAAAUUAAGUGCUGACUAGGUGAAUUCUGCCAUAAAUAAUUGUUUAGUCGACCGCACUUGCGAAAUAAAAAUAAAUACCGAGUCAGAUUCAAAGAGUUUAUUUUAGCAAUAACAUUCAGAUAGGAAAUGAUGGAGGUGUUUAAGUUUCAAAGAUUCAAUUUUAACUUGCAGAGUUCCAGUUCAACAAAACAGAAAGGAUAUGGCAAAACAGAAAUCUUACAAAUCUUUUUCAAAUUUCUUACUAGAAAGAUUUUAGUUAUGCUGACUUCCAUCUAAUACAUUAGGAGGGAGAAAAAAUACACCUCUCCUUUGCUUCGAUCCCGGCAAUGGUUUCUGAGUGGAGAACCAUUGCGUAUCCAACUUCUCGAUACCUUUAACUUCAAAACUGACGUUAUCGAUCAAGAGCGAACUAAAGUCCUCCUUCUCAGUAUCCUCCUUAGAACUUCUCGGGCUGCAAAUCUCUAUAGUAGCAGUGACCGAAUCACCAGGCCUAUAUAUCUCCUUAUCCGUCUGAACCUUCAAAGUCGGAGAUGCUUCCUGCUUGGCCCCCGAGGUCUCCUUCUUGUCAUCAAACAAUCCCAAGCUUCUAAAGAAGGCGAAGCUCUGAGAAAGUUUCAGUGACAUUUCCUCGAACACGUAAUGCCCAUCCAAUCACCUUCUCAUCCAAAAGAAUUCACCAUCUAGGGCCAUUUUCAUCUCCAAUUUGCUCCAAAGUUACGAUCAUUGAUAAAUUCUCAGCACUAUAUCACUCAAGCGAAGAUUCGAUCUGCAAAGUCAAAAAGCUCGACAUCAUCUAAAGCGUAUAGUUUAGAAAUUUCAUAGUGUAAAAAUUAGAACUAUCAAAAUUCCACAAAUUUCCACAUUUUAGUGCGCACACUAAGAUCUACUCCGCGGGGGGGGAAAACCAUCAUCUAAACGCAUCCGAAUUACAUAAUUUGUACGCUAGAAUGUCAUAGAUCUCAUUUUACGGCCGUCGAAACGAAAUAUUCCAUUGCUAAACAAAAUUAACAACCGAUCGCGCAUAAUUAGGGUACGAGUUCCACCAAACUGAUCAUAAAAUCGCACGGAUCAGUGAAGAAACAGCGCGGAUUCAAAUCAAAAACGAAGUAGAAAUCUAUGAAAAAGCAUAGAGAUCUGAGGGAGAACCGAGAAAGAAUCUUCCACGGAUCUUAGAUCGGAUCAGAGCGCGCUUCGAGCUUCGAUCGAUCUCAGUGCUCGCGACGAGUCGAAGAGCGUAGGACCGAGAUCGAGGCGGAGGAGGAGAGGAGGUGAGAGGUGGUGGGGUUACCGUCGUCGUGUAUGAGUUCCUCGUUGUUUUCGUGUUUGUUUUUGAGUAGUAGAGAGAAAAAGAGAGAGAGGGUACAGUGGUUGUUGGGGGGUGUUGGAUACUUGGAUCCAAGCGGGGCUUCUUCGUGGGGAGGGAGGUAAGGUUACCGGUUGUGAGAGGAAGAGUUUUUUUUUUUGCAUUUAGCCUCCUAAAAAAAUUAUUUUCACAAAAAACUCCACCAAAUUUAUAAUUAUAAUUUUGCCCUGUCCCCACCACGCAGGCGCCAUGUAAGCGCCACGCGAGCAAAGAUGGAGACGCUGGAAUAAGUUAAACACGGUAAUUCAUUCACCGUGUCUAAACACGGUGAAUGGUUCGCCGUGUCUAUUGUCUUACAAUGUUCAACUUAAUACUCCUCUUUAGCCAGCUUGCCUGACGCUGACACGGUGCCUACGUCGCGGGAAUAGGAUCAAAAUUAUAAUUAUAAAUUUGAUAAGGCUAUAUGUGCAAAAAACUUUUUUAAAGGGCCAAAUGCAAAAAGAAGCUCUAGAGGAAGAUUAGGAUUUUAUGUGUCCACUAAAAUGUUUAACUAUUUUAUAGAGUAGGUCUUCUGUGCUCAACUCUAAUUAUUCUUAUCCUUACUAUUUCAGUAUAACUAUCCAAAUGUUAUUUUUCUUAUUCUCGAGAAAAAUCUAGUUUUCAUCCAAACGCAAAAUUAAUUUUAUUUCCGCUUAUCCCAAGAGUUGUGCAUAUCCCAUGAAUAAUCUAAAAUAGCUUAUUUCCGAACCAAACGAUAUCAUUUGUUUUCAGCCAUUUGAUGAAGGGAUGUGCGGUUAGGAUAAUAGUAGUCUCUGGUUAAGUAGAUAGUAAUUCCCUAGGGUUGAGUGAGUGGUUGGUUAAACAGUAUGAUCUAACGGAUGGAAAUGAUUAAAGGAAUAGAUCUAAUGAUCGAAAAUUAUAAGUACAAAAAGACCUAUACUCAUAAAAGUCUAGUAACCGAACUCUGUUUAUUUAAUACAAUAUAAUUAUAUAGUGUAAUAAAUAUAAAUGAAUUUAAUUAAAAAUAUAAAGUAAUAUAAUAUUUUUUAUAUUAUAUUAUUUCGUUAUAAAUAAUGCAAUCACCGUAUAAUCACAAACAGGCAAACAAAGCCUUAACAAUAAGGGGUGAAAAUGGUCGGAUUUUUAACAAAAUCAUGCAUGUAUAUUUUUGGGAAAACUUCAAAAAUCUUCCCUGUGGUUUCACACUUUUUCAUUUUAGUACCCUGUGGUUUAAAGUUUAUCAAGUUAGUACUCUGUGGUUUCUUACUUUAUUACUUUAGUACCCUGUGGUUUAAAGUGUAUCAAGUUAGUACCCUGUGGUUUCUCACUCUAUCACUUUAGUACCCUGUGGUUUAAAGUGUAUCAAGUUAGUACCCUGUGGUUUUGCACUUUAUCACUUUAGUACCCUGUGGUUUCACACUUUAUCACUUUAGUACCCUGUGAUUUAAAAAACCACAGGGUACUAACUUGAUACAAAUUAAAACCACAGGGUACUAAAGUGAUAAAGUACAAAACCACAGGGUACUAACUUGAUACACUUUAAACUACAGGGUACUAAAGUGAUAAAGUGAGAAACCACAGGGUACUAAUUUGAUACAUUUUAAACCACAUGGUACUAAAGUGAAAAAAAUUGAAACCACAAGGGGGGUUUUUGAAGUUUUUCCUAUAUUUUUCUUCCGACGUUCGGAUAUGGAUAUAUGGUCGAAACUAAAUAUAAUUUUAACAUAAAAUUUAUAGUAAAAUAAAUUAAAAAAACCCCGAUAAAAAGUCACUUUAUUCAUUCUACAAUAUUUAAGAACAUUCCUCUUAUUUCUUAAAUGUCAAAACAAUUAAAUACAGUCAAAUUUUAAAAAAAAUCAUAUUCGCAUCACAUAUGUAUAUAUUUUUUCGAAUGCGAAUUCGAAUACGAAUAUACGUCGAAUAUUAAAUUUUAAUAUUAAUGUAGGCAUCCUAUUGGACUCCGGAUUGGAUCGAGUUUAUCCUAGGAUAAAUUUCAAAUACUAUUCCUAUGAUUUCGUAUGUUCCCACUUUAGUACCUUUUGGUUUAAAGUGUAUCAAUUUAGUACGCUAUAAUUUUCUUUUUCUCUUUUUGUCGAUUCUUUCAUUAACUUUUCAUUAAAUCAUAUACAAAAACUUCAGAUACCUCACAUAUAGUUUACCUUUUAGUUUUAACAUUGUCACUGAUUUAACGAAAAAAAUUAAUAAAAGGGAUAACAAAAAGAGAAAAAUAAAAUCAUAGGGUACGAAAGUGAUACACUUUAAAUCACCGGAUACUAAAGUGAGAAAGUACAAAACCACAGGGAUGGUAUUUGAAGUUUUUUUUUUUAUCCUAACUAGGGAUGUCAAUGGGUACGGAUACCCAAAAUAUUAUCUGAACCUGAAUCCGAACGGGAUGGGUUUACUCGAGUUAAACGGAUAUGGAUUUGAUUAUGGGUAUAGAAAAUAAAAAUCCGACAAAUAUGGAUACGGAUAUGGAUUUUAUAUUUAUCCAACUCGAACCUGAACCCGAAUUUAUUUAUAUAAUAGAUAAAAUAUUUAAUAAUUUUUAUCCAUUAGAUUUUCAUCCAACGCUAUGGAUUAUUAAAACCCUUCUAGUUCGGGUCCGGGUUCGACUUUCAGGUUUUUGGUCGGAGACGGAUAUGAGUAUGAAUUUUUUAAACCCACCCAAUUCGGGUGGGAGUUUGGGUUUUAAUUUGAUUUUCGGGUUUGGAUUCGGGUUUUUGAAAACCCGACCCAAACCUGAUCCGUUAACCUCCCUAAUCCUAACCACCACUUUCACCUCAACUUAACAAUGGAAAUUGAGAUGGGAGCGGAUCCGGAAAAUUGUGAUCCGACCCGCGCCACUUCCACCAUUUCAAAACUGAGAGAAGAUGCUUCUGCUCGAACUCCCACUAUAAAUAUAUGGAGUGAGCGAAGAAGCCAAAAAGGAAGAGUCGUCGGAAAAAAAAAAAAAAAAGAGAAAAAAAGAAUCGCCAUGAUCUUCGUCGAUGGAGAAUCCAUCUCCAUCUCCGCCCCCAAUUCCCAUCUCAAGGUCUCUCUCUCUCUCUCUCUCUCUCUCUCUCUCUCUAGAAUCGACGAGGACGAUGGAGGAGUAGAGAUCUCGGUGGAGCUCAAGAUGGUUUGUGUGGUCCUUUUUUGAUGCAGGGGAGGGAGAUCGUGGAGUUGCUGUUGCGGAACCCUACUCUGAUCGCCGCGUCGGAGCGGCUCAAAUCCAUGCCGGUGAGGAGGUUCUCGAUCUCGCCGCCGUGGAAGCACGUGUACGUGCUCCAGAGGGAGUACGCCACCGUCGAUCCCGCGAUCGUCAAGGUAUGCUGGGGAAAUUAGGGUUUGGGUGGGGGAGUUUGAGUUCGUAAGGCCUUGUUUGGACGUGGGAAUGAGUGAGUUCUUCAGUUAUAGUGAUAAUAACUCAUGCAUUGUUGCCCUGUUUGGAUUCUUUCUUUUUUUUUUUUGUGAUUAUAAGCUAAAUGUUUGAUAUUUGUCCUUGAAUGGUCUCGUUCUCCGAUAAGGAAGUGUUUGGUUCCACGAAAAAGCAUGAAAAGCUAUUUUUCAGGGGGAAAAAACAAAAAAAAAAAUCAUGGAAAAUCCCUUUUUUUAUUUUUUCGCCCGUUUUUUAUCGGAAAAAGGAUAACACUAUUUUACUAUGAAACCUGGAAGAAACUUUUUCAGAAAAUCUAGUUUUCCUGGGAACCAAACGGGUGAAAAUUUAAGUGGGGUUUUCCAUGGGAAUUUUUUUUUUUACUCGGAAAACAGUUUUCUACACUUUUGUGACAAAACCAAAUACCCCCUAAGAUAGUAUAUUUCACCUAAAACGAUGGGAAAGUCGAAUAUGAUAUGCACCAUUCUAUACAUUUCAUCGGCACUCCUCAUCUACCAAAUACUACAAGCUUUUUGAGUAAAUUAAAGAGCUAUCCUGAACAAGAUGUUUAUGCGGCCAAACAGACUUUAUAAAGAUUUUUUUGUGUGAUUGCAGUUUAAAGAGCUAUCCUGAACAAGAUGUUCGUGUGUCCAAAGAGACCUUAUAAAUAUUUUCUUGUGUGAUUGCAGUUUAGGAGUUUGAUUUUAGCUUCUUGAAAGGUCUUGAUAGUUAUGAUUUUGGGGAGUAAUGUAAUUCGCCUGUAAGGUAAUUUAUCUUAUUUCAAGAAAGUGACUUGAAUGCCAAACAUGGUAUGCCUUUUUAGACAUUUUAUCAUACUUUUCGAUUACCAAAUACAACGCUUGUUACAUAAAUAAAAGUGAUGUGCUGAAUAAGAUGUUCAUGCAUCCAAACAGGGUUACUGAUGAUAAGAACACUAGUAUUUGAUAGCUUAAGCUUUUGGACAAGAAAAUGGUUAUUAUACCAGUGAUAGCUUUUCACGCUUCUGCUUUUCACUUACUUUUCUCCCAUUUACUUCAAGAAGCCAUGUGCUCGGCUUAUGUCAAAAUUGAUCCACAAGUGACCUGGAUUAUUAAAUAUAAAUGAUUACAACACUUAUCUCUACUAGCCUAAGCUUCUUGAGAGAACUGGGUGUUUUGCCACAACCAUUAAUAGAACACUUGGUAAACAAAAACAGUCUGAAGCUUCUAUGGUGGCAGGAAAUAGAAUUAUAAUUUUUCUGGCAUAUAAAAUGAUACAACAUAUAGAAUAGUUUAAACUUUAAAAUUGACAUUUUACUCAGUAUUAGGGCAAGAGAUUCCAUUCAAAUCUUUUCGAGCUCCUAGUCAUUCUAAUUUCCUCCGAUUUACUACAGAAGUCACUUCUUGAGGCUGGGUCAAAUCCACCUAUUCAUGUUGGGACUGUUGAGUAUAAAUGAUUAAGACAUUGUUCUCUACUAGCUCUUUUUGGAGAAUAAUAGUUUCUUUACAAUUUUGAGGUCUUAAUUGGGCUUCCUUCUUGAUUACUUACAUUCCUCUCAUCAGCCCAUUUGUAGCACUCAUAGCUACAUCUCACACUCGAUUAUUUCCUGAUAAUUGCUAUACCUCACAAGUCACAUUAAUUUGCUGACUGACAAUAUCUGGACCCUUAACUACUAAAGCGUUACGACUAUUAGGCAUCGUGCCAAGGGAAAAACGACGGCUUCAAUUUGGAACCUGUAAUGUUGCUAUAGAGGGGAGCUGUUUGGAAGAUUUCAAUAUAGUCUCUUUCUCCCAGUAGCGCUACUCAGAUGGCAAUUCACCUUGCAGAAGAGCCAAACAGACCCUAAACCCCCCUAGUUCACGUUUUACAUUGGUGAAUCAGAAGUUCUUGUGAUAGUUUAUGUUGGUGGUUUCGAAUUGGGUUUUAGUCCACAGGUUAAUUAAUGGCACGAAUGUUUGUGCUUCUGAAAGGUUUAGAACGGAGCUAGUGUUCUUUUUUUUUUUUUAAAUCUUUUGAUUGGUUUCAAACCAUUAUAUUGCUCUUCUUAUAAACCAAAAUUUACCUUCUACAAUCUAGAAAUUCUCUUUCUUAGAUCCUUUUCUUAUAUUUUAUUGUAACUUCUCAGUUUCAUCCUGUAUGUCUUUGUCUGAACAAAUGCAUUACCUGAUGAGCAUCGCUCAGGCAUAUAGUUGAUUGAAUAUCACAGUAACAAUCCACUACGGUAGUUAGUAACUUUAUGCUUCUUUGUCCUUUGGUAGUUGGUGGGCACGGAUGAGGCAACUACAUGUGUUGGUCUUGUAAUUCGCAACCGGUAUACUGGAAUGUAAGAAUCGCUAUUGUACUCGCACACACACAACAUAAGAGUUGAUGAGGUUUGCCGUCUCAUUCUCUCAACCUCCUUUACAUUGAUUGCAGGACCUCUGUUAGCCAUAUGGACUUUCCUGGAGUUGUCGAUAGGGGCCUCGCCCAAAUGUUACAGAACCUUAGCGAUCAUGAAGCGGCAUUCGAUGUUUGUCUUUUCAUCCUAUAUUGGCGACAAGAACAACCUUCUUUUUCCCUUUCUGCCAUUCUCAUAUGAAAGGGUUUUUUGAUUGAUCAUUAUUCUUUAAUGCAGGUUCAUUUAGUUGGUGCUUUUGAUGAUUCGUCCACUAAAGUUAGACUCACUACCAAAUGACUAAAUUAGAGAUUUUCACUUAUACUUUUCUUUGGGGGUGGCUGAAAAAAAUCAUAGUUGACACGUAUUCAUGCAGCAUGUGGUCCACUCAGCUGGAUCAAAGGGAAACAAAAUACAGAAAGGAUAUUCUUUGCCUUUAUGCUGCAAAAUAGUUGAAGCUCUGCAGAAUAGCCGGGAAGAGUUUCAUCUUCAAACUCUGUGUAUUCUUGGGCAUAACACCACAACAGAUUCAUAUGGAAAUGCAAAGCCUAUUGUCGGUGGCUUUUGGGUUAGUUUUUGCUGUUUUCUUUGUGUCAUCUAUUUUUUUUUUUUUUUUUUUUAAAUCCUUACAACUCGAAAACUUUUUUGAACCUCUAUUCUAUUCCUAAAAGGAGAUUUAAUGGCUAUGUCAAUUUUAUUCUUUUGCUUCCCAUUUAUUUUUUGAAUUUUAAACAUAACCAGUAUUCUCUAUUUUUGCAUUCAAAUUGGAAGUUUCUCCUGCGUUGGCUUUUGGAUUUCUAUUUUGGUUUGGUUGAAACGAAAAGUUUGAAUUCUUUUUAAUAAACAUAAAGCGCUUCUAUUACUUCCGCUUUUUUCCCAUUUGGCCUAAACUUUCGCUUUCUUUUCAACUACAACCAUCGUUUUGAAUCUUCUACUGCAACACGAAGCAUAAAUAAGUUUGAAGCGAACCCAAAAGCAGGAGCUUCAAACUGGCACUUUUGCUUCUGAUGCAAAGUCGAACAACAAUUCGACCUAUAACUCAAGCCCCCAUUUUGCCUGCUAUGUAGCUUCUGCACAAUGAUGUUUUAGGAGAGGGGUUAGAAAAAGCAGCAACAGUUCUUAUUAUCAAAAGUCUCCCCAACAGCUUGCUGCUCAAGUAGAAGCAUAAGCUUCAAAUUAGAACAGCUUUUUAGGGUUGAGACGCUUGGAGCUUUUGGCAGAACAAAAGCUUCAGGCUUUCAUCUGCCAAACACUAAGCUGCUGCUACUCAGAGUAGAGGAGCAGUUCCAGAAGCUGAGCCAAGCCGGCACUUAAAAGGGAUUUUACUAACAUGUGAACACACUCUGCUGCUUGUAGGUAGACACUUCAACUGGUCUAAUGACGCCUGCAAGCUUUGAUACGAGUUCCAGAUGCCCAGAUGAAAUCGUCAGAAGAGUCCGCGUCAGCGUAUCCUCAGGCGAUCCCACUUGGGAUGGGAAGUUAUUAGAGACUUACGAUACGCACAACGAUAGAUUUCAAAUUGCUGCUUGCUCCUGGUAUUUUAUUUCCUACCGCCUCCAUUUUAUCUAUGAAAUAACAUGAAAUUGAUAAUAUUCAUAAAACAGAGCUAUCAGAGUUUCCGAGCAGUUCAUACUGAAGAUAGUAAUGAUCUCUCUAUUGCAUAAUGAGAAACGGUUGAAAUGUGUUUCUCCUGAUAUACAAGAGUGUUAAAUAAAAAAAUAUUUAAACAGCGCUCUCGUUUUAUAUGGUAUCAGAACAGGAGGUCAUAAGUUCGAGUUAUAUCAGGCUCCUAAUAUUAUUAAUUUUCUCCCAUUUAAUUCAAGCCUACGUUAUGGUCCUAGCAAAAAAAGUCUCGAGCCCAGAUAUGAGGGAGAGUGUUAAAUAUAAAAAUAUAUAAGUACAGUUCUCUACAAGCGUAAGCUUUUAGAAUACAAUGAUUGUUUCACAGCGAGACCUCCAAUUUCAAGAGCUAAAAUUUCCCAUUCUAUUUUGAUUGAAAUAUUUAAAAACGUUUUCUCGGAAAAGCAAAAGAAAUAAUUAAAAAACCUAGUUGUAUCUUUAGAGCAUGACACAGACUGCUUCUAUUGCUUUACUUGCCUGAAGUGACUUAGGUGGUUUUCAUUAAAACAUUUGGUCAGAGUUGUUUCUGAUUUAUAUAACUAAACUCUUAUGUUGACAAAGGCUUUAGGAUAUUCUAGCUACAUGGCAUUUUCAGGAUCCUAUAUGUAAAUUUUCCCCACAGGCUCUCUGAAUCAUUAUGCUUCUUAUAACAGCAGCUACUAUUAGAAAAAUUUUGCCGAGAAUAUGAAAACGGCUAUGGAAUAGCAGUAUACUUUUAUAAUAUGCCAUUUUGGUUAAUCCUUUGUGGGUUACUUUAAUCUUUGUUCCGCAUUCUGUCAUUCUGCUCUUACAGGAUGCCGUCUGAAUGGAAGCGAACAGCCCUUUCACUGCAGCGUCUCUCAGACACGGAAAUCCUCGUCCAGUGUUCUACCUCACCUUCUGCAGAGCCUCCUGAUUUUGUUGAGAACCAAAGGAGGUCUUUUCGCAUACGAGACGCCUCAAACUGUUGGAUUUUGCGUUGCUGGUCUAUGACAUGAUUUACAUUUUCACGUGUUCUUUCAUUGACGCAGGAUAUGGAACUACUUGAUUGAGUAUCCAGAUUGGAGCCAUACUUUUCCAGGAAGAAAACCGCGUGUAUUUGAACGAGCGGCCAACGGAGGGUGGUCCAGGUGUGGAUAAUUUACCAUCUUGCCAAUUUCAGCAUGAUUCGUUUCUUCACAACGGUACGUCACUGGUUGAAAUUACGUAGUUGUCGCCUCUGCGGCACUCUGAAACAAACUAAAAAUUGCAUGUUUGAGCUCUCGGGCUCAAAAUCACUAGAAGAGAAUGUUCUACGUUAAAACUCUGUGCUCGUCGAGAUUCGUAGCUGCCGUGUAAUAUUGAGUAAACUUGUUGUACAAACAUAAAAAAGAUUGUAAAACUUUUUACUGCAUAAACGAAAGACCGUGGAACAACAUAGUAAGCCAAUAUUUACCGCAGGCGAUAUAUAGUUUCAUGCAGUGUUCACUUAAACGACUUAUUUAUGCAUGCUGCUCUGGGGUUCAUCGCGGCUUUUGAAAUUAGAAAUAGAAUAAUGUGCUUGCUGAAAAAGUACUUAAUCUGAUCAUCUGUUCGGGGGUUUAUCAGGUAGGUUAGAAGUUAAAAAAAAAAAUAAAAUACAAGAGCUUAAGAAUCUGCCCAUAAAAACCACCACAGCAGCGGCACCAAAUAACAAUCAACAACAUCAACUGUGAAAGGAGCAUAGAAAAGACACAGACACCCCAACAGUAAGCAUGAUGUAAAAGAGCAUAAGGUAUGUAAGAUCAAGCAUAAGAAAGAUUCUCCCACAUUCGAAGGCUAAGAUGUAUAGCAAAGAAAUGCACCACACCUUUCUCAUGCAACUUCACAUUUUAAGCAGUAGGGAACACAUCUCGGGCGCGCACACACAUACAUACUUGUGUUCAAGGAUGCGUUUUAAUCCUAGGUAACCAGAAAACCUUGGUUCUAACAAGAUAAUUUGGUAAUGACUCCCAUGUUACGUGGAAACACAUUAACACAUGCGACAACCAUAAAAAACCCAAUUUAACCACACUACGCUACGACACUAAAACGGCUGGCAGAAAAGGCGAGACAGUCGAAAGAGGCGGCUGCCGCGGCUGCUGCAAAAUAUCUUGAUUACUCGUUCUCACAUCAUAUAAACCUGCCAAUACGAAACAAAAGGAAAGAAAGAGAAAGCAAAGCCUCGAAAAGAUCCUACAAGAGAGAGAGAGAGAGCUUAAAACUCCUCGAAAAACCGCUGGCAUGGAAGCACUUCUCAAACAGUAGCUUUGCGCAGCUCGCUUUCUCCAUGAGCAAAGUUGCACCGGUCCCCGAACGUGCACGAGCCCUUUGCAAAAUUCUCGCACAGCUUGGUCUUGAAGCUGCUCUCCUUCCCGCCGUGGGAGAAGGCACCUCCCCUACCGGGCUUUCUCCCGGCGGCGGGAGCAGCAAAGGCGGAAGCAGCAGCGGGGCCGCUUAUGCUGACGAUAAGCUCCCUCACCAUCGAGCUCGCGUCCCUUAUCUGAUCGAACGUCCCCUCGAGCUCGAUGUUCUUCAAGUUGGGGUCCGACUCAUGGUCGCGGAUCGCCAGCCUGGCGCCCGUCACCCUGCAUAUCUGUUUCGUGUUCACCCCGCCCUUUCCGAUGAUCGCCCCCGCCAGCGACGCAUCGACGCUGAUCUUUGCGGUGGCCGAGGCGCCGAAGCUCCCCGGGGCUCCUCCCCCCAUCCCACCAUAGGCCUCCGCCGGCGGCGGCGGCAUAGGGUAUUCGGGGUGGCCGGAGAAACGACCGCCGCCGCCUCCGCCACCGCCACCCAUCUGAGGCUGCAUGGCCGCAUCAGGAAUGGGUUUUCCGAGCUCUCUCUCUCCGUGGGCGUAAUGGCACUUUUCGCCGAAUCUGCAGCCUUCCGCUGUGUUGUACUUGUUGCAGAGGCGGGUCUUUACGGCUGGAGGCGCAGAGCCAGAAUGGCUGUCGGGAAACGCAGGAGCCGGUGGAGCUAUUCUCCCCGGGGGAGGAUUAGCAGGAUUGGGUAGGUUGAGCAUGUGCGCGACAGCCUGGUAGCCACCUGGGACGUAGUGCAGGAAAUGGCAGUUCUCGCCAAAAGGGCAACCCGAAGUGCUGCAUCAAAGUCACAAGACCAUCAGGCUUUUCAAAUUAUAAAAAAAAUACAACACAGCAGUGUAGGCUAUGUACAUCAGAUGAAAUCAUCAACCAUAAGAAUAGUCUCGAUUCGACUUAUUAACGAGAUUCUUUAGUGAUAUCAAUGAAGAGUUGCAGUUUCAUUCAAUUACGAUUCGUUCAUGUGCAUGGCAAAGUGAAAACAACUUACAAAAAUAACUAUUGAAUGGAAUGACAAAGUGCAGGAAUACAAAAAAUCAUAACCAGAGGAGAAACAAAUCACAUGCUAACUCGUCGAAGACGUCCAGGAUAUAAAACAAAAAGGUUGCAUCAUAUGAGGCAGCAUACGAUCUAGUUGUUUUAACAAGCGCGGUUAAAAUAAAAAAUUUUCAUUUUCCACGCCACCAUUUUAAUUUUAAGGUACCAUGAGAGAAAACAACAUGCAUUUCGUUUACUUAAAAGAUCCAAAAUCAUUGUGACUUGAAAAUAUACUGAAAAGAGGUAUAAUCAAUCAAAAUAACAAUUCAAGUGUAAUUAUAUGAAUACAGCUAUAGCAAUUUACCCUCGAUCAUAAAAAGCAGGGAGAAGUAUUUAUGAAGCCUACUACAAUCAAUGACUUCAAAAUCAAAAUGCGCACACUAAAGGCAACUCCUCUCUAGACAAGCGCACAGAGGGAAAAGCUACGAGGAUAUUACCAUACAAGCUACAAUAUCUGCAAAAACACUAUAAAGACCAACCGAGGCAAAAUUGUCAUUUUCAAGGAUAGCUAGAAUGAUCGCACGCCCAAAUCUGUACUUAGAAACAGAUUGACUGCAAAUUCAUCUCAAGGUUCAUAUCAUUAGUCAUCCUGCAAAACUGAAAUAACGUCUUGCACUUUCCAAUCUAAGUAUUUAAUUAUCUCCUGAGUGCACUAUUUUAACUAACAAAUUUAUUUUUAGUUCUCUUCUGGAUAAACCAUUUCAUAUUUUUAAGUUCAAUAGGCACAGCAAUAACCUAUUCUACAGAAGGACCUAGUUAGCAACAAUCCACAGGAUUUUGCUGCAUCGUUCUAUAUAGAACUAUUCAUUUACUCUCAAUUCAUAAAACCCUUUCCCAUAAACAGGAUGCACAAGCAGUUUAGGGUGGCGUGUCCUAAGAAAAAUAUUUUGAAACCAGGGCGAUUACAUCUCAUGUUUUCUCCUUAUCAUCCCUUCUUACACUGCCUGUUCAUUCUGUCAAGCAUUACUUCGUCUCAGCCUCGCCCUCUAUCUCUUUUCUUACACCUGUCUGCUCCACCAAAAUGGUGCAUAGGAGGUCUCCAUACAUUUUUGCCCAAAAGAUAUGAACUGACACAAAUUUUACUUUAUGUAUUCAGACCUUUACUGACAGAAACAUAAAAAAGACAAAAACCUGGCAAUAAAAUUUUGACAAUGUACCAUGCAGCCAGUUAUUAAAGUCUCAACAUUAAACCCAGUACAGAACAAACAUUCCAACCAUCUAAUAAAUGUUAAAUUGCUUUUCUAACAUAAGUUUGCUACGAAAUCUAGCAUGUACAACAAUCCAAGAUGCCUAUGAAAUGACAACCAUAUGCAAGAUCAUACAAUAUGAAAUAUUUAGAUGCGCAAACAACAAGAAAUUAUAUGGAAUUAUAUUUAGAAAGUGAGUAUCAUAUGACAUAUCGAUUCCAUGUAAUUCGAGUUCCCGCGUUCUAUAUCGCUUGCCAUUUUCAUACAGAAGGCACAAUUAUGAACACCCAUAUUACCCUGUUCAAGAUUGUUAACAUGAUUUGAGCAGAACCUGUAUCACAAUCUUUAGUGACCAAUUUGUUAGCACCAAAUAUACUAAUUUUGGAUAUGAAAAGUUUCCACAACUUACAAUUUACGUGCUGAAAAUAGAGGUUGCAUUUAUGAUGUCCAUUAUAGAUAAGAUUUGAACCUGAAAAACUUGGUGCAAGGCUUCGAUUUGCUUCCUACACCAGUUUGAAACGACUCCUUUUCUGUUGCAUCAAAUUAAUUGUGUGUUCUUAGUCAAUGUAAUAUUAAUUUACUGACCUUAAUAGUUCAAUUACAAAUUAAACAUCUCAAAAUUAUUAAAAAUACAAAUAUGUGAAAGGUUUGCUUUCAUAUAAGAUGCUAGUAUAUCCUCUAUCCAAGAAACUGAAUAUGAUCUAGGAAAAGUAUUUAUUUACAACUUAGAACCGAUUUUUUUUUAACUCUCUGCAAUGAUAAAGAUCACCCUUCACAAUGUAGUCGCUGGGUUUUAUAGAGUAAAUUGUCGCUUAAGUAGUGAAACACAAAUGGCCAAUGGUGCAAAAAGAUCAAAACUGAAAAGUUAAUUAUGUACAAACAUAAAAUCUAUGACUUGGACUAAAUAUUAAGACACAAAUUUUAUUUUCACAUAAUUUCGAUUUUAGUCAAUAAAAUUUUAUGGUAAAUCAAAAUAAACCCCAAUGGAUUUUUAGAACAGUUCUUAAACCCUAAUAUCAUUAGAACCCAAAAGUUAAACCCUUGAGUCAUUUGAAGAGAAAAAAAAACACACACAUACACACUUGGAUAAGAGAACAUCUGUAGAAUACAAAUUUCAGGGAAAAGAGAAAAAUCUGAAUACUACUACAUAACCCUCUCACACGACGCGAUGUAUUAUGAAUUAAAAAUUAAUCAUAAAAAUAUAAGAGUAGAAAAGAGUUCAAAAAGAGAAGAAGAAACACACGAAUCCAGAAACUGCGUGGAACUCGCACAUUACCAUACAAAACCCACCAAUAGCAACAAUAAGCUAAAUAUAAACAAUUUACACUAAUUUUUCUAAUAAUAUGCAAUACAAAAUCUUGUCGAACCCUACAAACCCUAUCUCCCCAACAAAAUAACCCAUGAGUCCAUACUUUUCCCCAAAGAAAACAUCCUGAAGAAGAAGAAGAAGACGAAACCACUAACGAAACCAAGAAGGAAGCAAAAGGAAAAAAAAAAAAAACUACUGAUCCCCUUCCUCAAGAAACCCUAACAUCCUCUUCCUCAAACAAAACCCCUUGAAGAAGAAGAAGAAGAAGAAAACACUAAGAAAUCACAGAAAAACACGAAGCAAAUAACCAAUCGAUCCCGACUCACCUCUCGACCUCUUCGCGGCGCCUCCGUUCGCCGCCCCUACCCUCCCCCUCUUGCGACCUCCGUCCAUGGCGACGUCCGUAUCCGGAUCAAACAGCCUCCCACAAUGAAGAGAGAGAGAGAGAGAGAGAGAGAGAGAGAGAGAGGGAGAGAUCCAAGGAGACGAGCACGAAACCCUAGCGAAGCGGAGGAAGCGGAGAGCGAAACCCUAGCUAGGGUUUUUUUUUUUUUUUUUUUUCCAACGGGAGAGACGAAGAGGCUCGGGGGAAAACAAAAAAUAUAUAUAAAAAUAAUAAUAAUAAAAAAGAUAAAAUAAAAUGAGAGGCGUGAUUAAGUGGAGCGGAGAGAGGGGGGUAUUUAUAGGGCGGACGCGAACCGUUCGAUUAGAAUCGGGUUAAUUGGAUGCGGAUUCGAGUCCGAAUAGCCAAAGCCGAUGAGGUCACGAGAUUCGGAAAAGGUGUAUGAAAUGCACGGGAGAUUCGUUGGCCCCUGCCACGUGGCGCCAUCGCAAUGGUCGUGGUCUUUAAUUUUUUUAAUACUUUUUUAUUAAUUGCUGUUUAACGGAUGUGAGCUCGACACGUGUUUUUUUGGGGUAAGCUUCAAAUACCCCUCGUGGUUUCAUUCAUUCUUACUUUAGUACCUAUGAUUUAAAGUGUAUCAAAUUAGUCCAUGUGGUUUUGCAUUUUUUCACUUUAGUACUCUAUGGUUUAAAGUGUAUCAAGUUAGUACCCUGUGGUUUCAUUUUUCUUUUUUUAUUAUCUAUUUCACUAUUUUUUUUGUUAAAUCGGUAACAAAGUUAAAAUUAAAGGGUACUAAAGUGAAUAUUCGAUGAAUCUAGAUAGGGUAUCUGAAUUUUUUUGUAUAUAAUUUAACGAAUACUAACGGAGGAAAAAAUAUCAAUGACAAAGUUAAAACUAAAGGUACUAAAAUAAAUAUUCGAUAAAUUUAGGUAGGGUAUCUGAAGUUUUGUCUAUAAUUUAACAAAAUAUUAACAGAGGAACCGACGAAAAGAAAAAAAAUGAAACCACAUGGUACUAAGUUGAUGCACUUUAAACUACAGGAUAGUAAAGUGAAAAAGUGCGAAAUCAUAUGGUACUAACUUGAUAUACUUUAAACCACAUGGUACUAAAGUAAAAAGUGCGAAACCACAAAGGUGGUAUGUGAAAAUUUUCAUUUUUUUGAAUUAAUUGCAUGCAACUCUCUGUGAAUAUAACAAAUAGUAAAUAUAUCCCUACAAAAUUCAACUUUUAACUCUUAUUUUUGUAAAAGUCGAGUGAUAUUCANACCGUUCGAUUAGAAUCGGGUUAAUUGGAUGCGGAUUCGAGUCCGAAUAGCCAAAGCCGAUGAGGUCACGAGAUUCGGAAAAGGUGUAUGAAAUGCACGGGAGAUUCGUUGGCCCCUGCCACGUGGCGCCAUCGCAAUGGUCGUGGUCUUUAAUUUUUUUAAUACUUUUUUAUUAAUUGCUGUUUAACGGAUGUGAGCUCGACACGUGUUUUUUUGGGGGUAAACUUCAAAUACCCCUCGUGGUUUCCUUCUUUCUUACUUCAGUACUCUAUAAUUUAAAGUGUAUCAAAUUAGUCCAUGUGGUUUUGCACUUUUUUACUUUAGUACUCUGUGGUUUAAAGUGUAUUAAGUUAGUACCCUGUGGUUUCAUUUUUUUCUUUUUAUUUUCUAUUUCACUAUUUUUUCGUUAAAUCAGUAACAAAGUUAAAAUUAAAGAGUACUAAAGUGAAUAUUCGAAAAAUCUAGAUAGGGUAUCUGAAUUUUUUUGUAUAUAAUUUAACGAAUAUUAACGGAGGAAAAAAUAUCAAUGACAAAGUUAAAACUAAAGGUACUAAAAUAAAUAUUCGUUAAAUUUAGGUAGGGUAUCUGAAGUUUUGUCUAUAAUUUAACGAAAUAUUAACAGAGGAGCCGACGAAAAAAAAAGAAGAAGAAACCACAUGGUACUAAAUUGAUGCACUUUAAACCACAUGGUACUAAAGUGAGAAAGUGCGAAAUCACAUGGUACUAACUUGAUAUACUUUAAAACACAGGGUACUAAAGUGAAAAGUGCGAAACCACUAGGUGGUAUUUGAAAAUUUUCCUUUUUUUGAAUUAAUUGCAUACAACUCCCUGUAAAUAUAACGAAUAAUAAAUAUAUCCCUACAAAAUUCAACUUUUUAACUCUUAUUUUUGUAAAAGUCGAGUGAUAUUUAUAUUUGUCCCUCUGAUUUGUUACCAAGCUUCGUUUGGUUCGGAUAUAAGCAAGAACUAGUUAUACCGGGGAUAGGUACAAGAAUGGAUUUUCGUAGAAAUAAGGGUAUUUUUUUGUUUGGAUGAAAAUGUGAAUAUAAGCUGGAACUAGAAAAAUUGUGUUUGGAUGAAAAUCUGAGUAUAAGGUGGAAUAGUUGGCAGUUAUAGAUAGAAAAUAAUAAUUUUACCUCUAUAAUUGAAUUUAACAUUUUAAACUAAUAAUUUUAAAUUAAAAAUUUUAACUUUUAAAUUUUANAACUAAUAAUUUUAAAUUAAAAAUUUUAACUUUUAAAUUUUAAAAUUUGAAAUUAAAAUUAAAACUUAUAAUUUUCAAAUUUCAAAUUUUAAAUAUAAAAUUUUAAAUUUAAGAUUAAAUUUAAAUUUGAAAGAUAUAAAAUAUAAAAUUUUAAAUUUUAAAUCUAAAAAAUUAAAUUUAAAAUUUAAAAAUUACAAAUAUCAAAUUUAUAAUUUAAAAUUAUAAAUUUAAAUUUUAAAAAACUAAAUUAUAAAUUUUAGAAAUUUAAAUUUAAAUUAAAGAUAUCUCUCUUUCUCUCUCUCUUUCUCUCUCUCCACCCGGGAGGGGUGGAACAAGUGUUCCACCCCUUGUUCCACCCCUUGGGGUGGAACACUUGUUCCACCCUGGUACAAGGACACCCCUUGUACUAGGUUGGGGUGGAACAAGUGUUCUACACCCCAAAUUGUGUUUGGUUAUCCCUCCUCUUGUACCCAUUCCAAACGGAGUGUUAGAGAACUGUGUAGUUUUUAACAGCAGAUAAAUAAAAUAUCAAUUUUGUCAUUACAGAUAUGUUCCUCUAAAAAUUCCAACUGCUAUAAUAGUACAGAAAUAUCCUUAAAAAAUUUCUAUUGGUCAUCUUCUUUCUUUUUAUAACCCAAUCCAAUCCACCCUUAUUGCAAUCUCUUCUCUCACUUUAGGAAAUUGAAUGGUGGAGCAACAUGCAUUCGAUAGAGGCGAAGCAACACGUGUCGUAAAUGAAUGGGGACGGAAAAAUUCUAGUUACGAGUUCGAAACUAGCAUGAAGAGGGAGAGGAAGAGGAAGAGUGUUGGGCCGAUAAGGCGCGGCCAAGUAGUACACCGGUGCUCCACCCAACUCUAUUCUUUAAUGAUAAGGAUUUUAUUGUGCACUGGGAAGAUCGGAAGAAAUCCCAAGUAAUCACUGCGCGAAUUAAGGGAAGUUAUAGUAACCGCGAGUGGUUACACAAGCGGUUCUGAUCGGUCGAAAGUGGCCCGAGAAAACAGGGGUAGUAGCCGAUCAUGAGUAAACAAUAACUGAUUAACAAAGGCUGUCUAUAAAUAGGCCAAUAACGCCCUAAAAAAAUGUCUUUUUCCCCGAUGAUAGAAGACCGCCCUUAUUUUCUUAUAACUUCUUCGCAUUUUUCUAAGAGUAAUCUACCUGUAAUCCUUUACUUUCCUGCAUUUACCGCUUUUCCAUAGGAGUAGAAUUUUAGAUAGAUCAAUCGAGUCUGUAUGCUAUCAAGCACACUCGAUCUUUGUACUGUUUCGCCAAGUCAUUUUCAAUAUAUUUAAAAGGCAUUCAGCUCUUUCGGCCGACCAGUUGGUGUGUUGUUCCAUCCAUUCGGCUCAUCAGCCGACCCUAAUCCUGUGCAGCCCAUACAUUCAGCUCAUUCAGCCGAAUCUGUUUAGAGUGAAGGUUUUUGAACUCGGCUGAUAAAAUCCCUCAUCAGCCGAAUCGCUUGAUCCAGUUAAAGGGCGCAAACUUCGAGGGUCAUUAAUCGUAGCCGCUCCGAGUCCCUACACUCCUCCCGAGGAAGAUCUUUGACUGAGUCAAGGGUCAAGACAAUCGGCACCUAACAAAGAGAAAAGGAGGAAGAGGAAAAGUUUCCAGUGCUAGGGUUUUGAUUGAGAGAAGAAUGUAUAAUAUAAAUUUAUCUCAUUGACUAAGCAGGGUUACAUAUUUUAUCUAUGGUUAACUAAAUUUUUCUAACGGAUCAUAACGGCAGGAGUAUAUUUAAAAAUUUUAGAACUUUUAUAGAAAUAAUAUAAAAAAGUUAAACUUUAUAUAAAUAUAUUCGUAAUUUACUAUGUUAAAACAGAGAGUUGUAUGCAAUUAAUCUUUUUUUUUUUCUUUUGAUGGAUCAUGUGCACAAAAUUUUUGUGCAUUAAUUAAACUAAUUAGUUUAAAAAUGCAGUGCAUCUCAAUUAUUAGCUCCGCCAAAACAUUAAAUCACUGAUUCACCAUGAAUUAUUGACAAUAGAAACAUUGUUGAAUUAUUGAUUUGUUGUGUUAUUCACAAAAAUUGUGGAGAAUUUGAGUCCUCUUUGCUGAAAUUUUAAUUUAUUAUAAUUUUUAGGUUGAAUUUUUGGAAUCGUUACAUUCAAAUUCUCCCUGUAUAAUUUAAUUUAUUAAAUGUUGACACUCAUUGCUGUAAAAAUGAUAUAACAUCUUAAUUAUUAGUGCAUUAUCAAUCACAACACUGUUAAUCACUUUACAUUAGCAAUAAAUUAAUAUUCAGACAAGUAAAUUAAUUUAAUUAUAAUAAUUUUAAAAAUUCAACCCAAUAAUUAUAAUAAAUUAAAAAUUGAAAAUAAAAGUGUUACUUGAUUCAUAGUUUGAGAACCAAAAAGUGCAAUUUAUCCUAGUAUACAAAAUGGUGAAAAUAAAAAAAUUAUAGCAUUUUUCAACUUUUUUUUCUUUCAUAGUUGGCUUUGUAGUUAGCCAGGGUAAAGCCAAUAACAAUAUUGUGGAAAAGUUAUAUUACAGUCAAAUUUAAAAUUAUAAUGAAUCACAUUUAAAUUUGAAUCAAACAAUAAAAAUAAAUAUUUACGGUCGUAAAUCACUUUACUUAGCUCUUGUAAUUUUAGUGAAACAAACAAGCUUUAAAUAGAAAUGUCAAUAGUUGGAUUUGAAGAGUGUCUUCAUAAACCUGAACUCGAACUUAACAACCAAACUCGAAAUUUAUACCCGAACUUGACGUGCUUUGAAAAUCCAUAUCUAAAUCCGAACAUGACUGAAAACCAAAAACCUGAAGGUGAAAAUUUGAUCCUGAACCAAUCAUUUUUCUUUACCAUAUUUUAAAAUAUAUUACACUGAAGUCUAAAUAUUUUUUAAAAAAAUAAAUUCAAAUAUAACAUCAAACAUUUUUAAUUAUAUUACAUAUAAAAUCUAUUCUUGUUUGGGUCGGAUUUGAGUCGAGUACAAAUAAAAUUCAUAUUCGAAUUCAAAUUCAUAGAGUUUUUUUUUUUCCUUUUUUUUUAAUGGGGNGGUUUAGGGUUUAGGGUUUAGGGUUUAAAAAAUGAGUUAGGGCGCGGCGGGGGGGUGGGGGGUGUGGUGGUGUUGAUCGAAACUAUCUUACUUGCUAUUGGAGGACCAAAAUAUAUUUAUUGAUUUAAAAAAAAAUGAGUUAAUUGCAUACAGUUCUACGUAAAUAUAGCGAAUAGCCAAUGUAUCCCUGCGUUUGGUUGGGGGUUAAGGGGUGGAAUAACCUCUUAACCCUCAAUUUAUACCCAAACACCACUCUUUUGGGGUGGGGUUAGUAAACCCCACCCCAAACCGGGUUAGUGGGGUUUACUAACCCCACUCCCCCUCCCAACUUUAACCCCGCACGCAUCCCGAGCCCUCACCUUUUUCUUCUUUAUCAAUCAUUAACCCCACUCCCCCUCCCAACUUUAACCCCGCACGCAUCCCGAGCUCUCACAUUUUUCUUCUUUAUCAAUCAUUAUCUUCUUAUCCCAUCUACUCCAACCAAACACUUUUUUUCACUAUCCUAUACUAACUCCAACCUCCAACCAAACACAAAAAAAAUUUUAACACCAUUUUAACCCUGAACUUAACUCUAUCCCUGGAAUAGCUACUUUUUCUUAACCCCGAACCAAACGGGGGCGUAGAGUUUAACUUUUAAUAUUUAUCUUUACAAAAGUUCUAACAUUUUCAAAUGUACUCCCGAUGUUAGGAUCCGUUAGAAAAAUAUAAUUAACCAUUGGUAAAAUAUUUUACCCUAAUUAGUAAAUGAGGUAAAUUAAUAUUUUUACCAUUUUUAUAUUAUUUGUGAUGAUAAAAAGAAAGAAGAUGACUGUUAGAGAUUUUUGGGAGCAUAUUUCUAUAAAUUCUAACAGUUUGGGCUUUUGGAGGGACAUAUAUAUGAUGACAAAAAUGUCAUUUCACUUAUCUUCGGGUAAAAAGUAAAUAGUGCUAUAAUAAUAAUAAAUCAGAGAAACAAAUAUGAAUAUUAUAAGAAUAUUGUUGAAUUUUUACAGGAAUAAAUAUAAAAAAUUAAACUUUGUAGAAAUAUAUUUGUUAUUCAAUAUGUUUACAAAGAGCAGUAUAAAAUUAAUCCAAAAAUAAAAAAAAUUCUUUAGAUACUCCUAUUUUACCUAGGAUUUACUAAUCAAAUGGACUAUAAAAGGACAUGUUAAUAAUUUCAGAAUAAAUUUAAAAAUUUAGAAUAGUAAUAUAAAUAAGUAAAAGUUUUGACUAAAUUACAGAAAACUCUUCUUUAUAAAUAUCUAUUUUUUCACUUUUUCUAACUUUCAAAAAUCUACAUUUCACUCCCUCAACAUUUCAAGUUAUUCCAUUUAUUCUCCCUACGUCAGGGUUCCAUCACUAUCCUGUCCAUUUCUUAUAAUCUAUACAAAAAAUACUAUUCAAAAUAAUAUAAAUACUAGUGUACGCACCCGCGCGAUGCGGUGGAUAAUUACUGCUAAAGUAAAAAAAUUUUAAAUAAUAA
rnacentral:lncRNA from 1 species